UACAGAGGUCCCAAGCGUUGUUCGGAUUCAUUGGGCGUAAAGGGUGCGUAGGCGGCGCGGUAAGUCGGGUGUGAAAUCUCGGGGCUUAACUCCGAAACUGCAUUCGAUACUGCCGUGCUUGAGGACUGGAGAGGAGACUGGAAUUCACGGUGUAGCAGUGAAAUGCGUAGAUAUCGUGAGGAAGACCAGUGGCGAAGGCGGGUCUCUGGACAGUUCCUGACGCUGAGGCGCGAAGGCCAGGGGAGCAAACGGG
rnacentral:rRNA from 1 species